CUGAAGCUCCCAAGGAAAAAGCUAAACCUGUGAAGAAAGGUAUGUUUUUUUUCCUGUUUCUCCUUAAGUAUUUUCUAAUCAGUUUUAUUGUAUGAUGUAAUGUAUGCCAUGUAUUACUGCAACCUGAAGCUGCAAAAACAAAACUGUUAAAGCAAAAAGAGUUACUAUAUUUAAGAUUUUAACCCCUGACCUUAAAAAAAAUGUUUACUAAAUAUGCAUUGAAAGUACAUCAAUUUUUUUAUUAUUUCAAAAGCUGAAGCCAAGGAUAAACCACCAGCACCUGUUAAAAAAGGUAAUUGUGUGCUGUUUACAUUUGUUUUUGAGGUAAAAAAAAAUGCUGAAUGUAUCUUUGCUUAUGUAUAGUAAUUAUAUUUACUUGUAGAAGCUGAAGUCGCUGUCGAAAAAGCAAAACUUGCUCCUGUAAAGAAGGGUAAGACAUUCCACAGACAAUCAAUGCCAUUCUAAACAAAAUGCAGUGUUUUUCUUUGUGUCAUAAACUGCUGGUGUUGAUGAAAUUACAGAGCCUGAGGUUCCCAAAGAGAAGGCCAAACCGGAGCCCUCAAAGAAAGCCGAAGCCCCCAAAGAGAAAGAGAAAGCUGUUCCAGUAAAGAAAGAGGCUAAAGCUCCCAAGGACAAAAUUAAACCGGCCCUUUUGAAGAAAGAGCCUGAUGUUUCUAAGGAGAAAGAAAAACCACCAACUGCCAAGAAAGGUAAUAUGGACAUAUGUGGCCUUGAUCAAUUUUUUGUCAGUCUUAUAUAUAAUUUAUUGAAUAUGUACCUCCAUCUUUUUCAGAAGGGAAGCCAACAACUGCUCCUGUUAAAAAAGGUAAUUAGUAAUUUUCCUUUCUUAAAUUUAUCGAUGAGUGCAUUGUUCCAAUCUUAA
rnacentral:lncRNA from 1 species